rnacentral:rRNA from 1 species
UUCCAGACUCCUACGGGAGGCAGCAGUGGGGAAUAUUGCACAAUGGGGGGAACCCUGAUGCAGCGACGCCGCGUGGGUGAAGGAGCACCUCGGUGCGUAAAGCCCUAUCGGCAGGGAAGAAACAGACGGUACCUGACUAAGAAGCCCCGGCUAACUACGUGCCAGCAGCCGCGGUAAUACGUAGGGGGCAAGCGUUAUCCGGAUUUACUGGGUGUAAAGGGAGCGUAGACGGCAUGGCAAGUCAGAUGUGAAAGCCCGGGGCUCAACCCCGGGACUGCAUUUGAAACUGGCAGGCUGGAGUGCAGGAGAGGUAAGUGGAAUUCCUAGUGUAGCGGUGAAAUGCGUAGAUAUUAGGAGGAACACCAGUGGCGAAGGCGGCUUACUGGACUGUAACUGACGUUGAGGCUCGAAAGCGUGGGGAGCAAACAGGAUUAGAUACCCCAGUAUA